UACGAAGGGGGCUAGCGUUGCUCGGAAUGACUGGGCGUAAAGGGCGCGUAGGCGGCCUGCUAAGUCGAACGUGAAAUCCCCGGGCUCAACCCGGGAACUGCGUCCGAUACUGGCAGGCUUGAAUCCGGGAGAGGGAUGUGGAAUUCCAGGUGUAGCGGUGAAAUGCGUAGAUAUCCAGCGGAACACCGGUGGCGGAGGCGGCGUCCUGGACCGCGCCUGACGCUGAGGCGCGAGAGCGCGGGGAGCGAACCGG
rnacentral:rRNA from 1 species